UGCAGUCGAGCGAGAACGUUCCUUCGGGAACAAGUACAGCGGCGGACUGCUGAGUAAUACACAGGUAACCUACCCGUGAGUUCGGGAUAACCUCGCGAAAGCGAAGCUAAUACCGGAUAUUAUGCUCUCCCAUAUGGGUUGGCAUGAAACGGUUGGCCCUUCGGGGUCUUCUGCUCACGGACGGGCCUGUGGCCUAUUAGCUUGUUGGUGGGGUAAUGGCCCACCAAGGCUGAGAUGGGUAGCCGGCCUGAGAGGGUGACCGGCCAGACUGGAACUGAGACACUGCCCAGACUCCUACGGGAGGCAGCAGAGGAGAAUCAUCCGCAAUGGGCGCAAGCCUGACGGUGCGACGCCGCGUGGACGAUGAAGGCCUUCGGGUUGUAAAGUCCUGUCAGAAGCCAUGAAAUGGUAUGGCAGCAAGCCCAUACCUUGACCAGCUUCAAAGGAAGGUCCGGCUAACUUCGUGCCAGCAGCAGCGGUAAUACGGAGGGACCCAGCGUUGUUCGGAAUUACUGGGCAUAAAGGGCGUCUAGGCUGGCCAAUAAGUCGGGUAUGAAAGCCCUGGGCUCAACUCAGGAACUGUGCCCGAUACUGUUGGUCUUGAGUGCAGAAGGGGAGAGUGGAACUCCUGGUGUAGCGGUGAAAUGCGUUGAUACCAGGAUGAACGCCGGUGGCGAAAGCGGCUCUCUAGUCUGCUACUGACGCUGAAGCGCGAAAGCUAGGGGAGCGAACGGGAUUAGAUACCCCGGUAGUCCUAGCCGUAAACGAUGGGCACUAAGUAGGGGAGAUACCGAUAU
rnacentral:rRNA from 1 species